GCACUUCAGCGGAUUUAAGCGUCUUCCGUGGCUAGGAACUCUAUGAUUACGACUGUUUUAGGAGCAUGGAGACCAAUAAUGGAUGAACUUGAGCUAAUCUGGGCGUCUUCCAUGGCAUGACCUCUCUGGUUGCAUUCAUGGGUUAGGAGCACAAAGACCAUGACGGUUGCAUUUGAGCUGAUUUAAGCAUCUUUCAUGGCCACUAGCUCUAUCGUUUCAUCUAUGCAUUAAAAGAUGGCGACCAA